CGGGUGAGUAACGCGUGGGUAACCUGCCUUGUACAGGGGGAUAACAGUUGGAAACGGCUGCUAAUACCGCAUAAGCGCACGGCAUCGCAUGAUGCAGUGUGAAAAACUCCGGUGGUAUAAGAUGGACCCGCGUUGGAUUAGCUAGUUGGUGAGGUAACGGCCCACCAAGGCGACGAUCCAUAGCCGACCUGAGAGGGUGACCGGCCACAUUGGGACUGAGACACGGCCCAG
rnacentral:rRNA from 1 species